ACGGCCACACCGGCCGGCUGUACAGCAGGCAGGAGCCGGUGACCAUUCUGGAGGCGGAUGGGGUUAAGGGCCUGCUUGGGAACUGGUCGGCCGCCUGGGUGGUGGAGUUCUACUGGUCGUGGGGCGGCCCCUGUGUCAACUAUGGGGCCACCUGGAAGGUACUGGGCCCGGGAGGUGAAAGGGCCACCAGAAGCCUUCUCAGUACUUUACAAGUGACUUCACCAACAUCCUGUACACCUUCAACAUGAUGUCCCAACUCCUUUAUUCAAUGGUGUGAACAAUUAAGCUACCCGAUGAAGGAGCAGCACACCGAAAGCUAGUGCUUCCAAAUAAAUCUGUUGGACUAUAACCCACUGUUGUGAUUUUUCAACCUUGUCCCACCUAGUCCAACAGCAGCACCUCCACCUCCUUUCUAAUGAACACAGCCCAUACCUCCCAGUGCUGCCAGUAAACUGCCGAUGAAAUGAUGCAGUGCCUGCACUCCUGAAAAGUUUAUAAUUUCUAACGAAACCAGCUACUCAUUCACUGCUCCACCUGAUACACGACUUUGGAAACUUAGUGCAGGAGGCUGCAAGAAAUGAGCAGCUUUAAAACAAAAA